rnacentral:rRNA from 1 species
UACGUAGGGUGCAAGCGUUAAUCGGAAUUACUGGGCGUAAAGCGUGCGCAGGCGGUUUUGUAAGUCUGUCGUGAAAGCCCCGGGCUCAACCUGGGAAUUGCGAUGGAGACUGCAAGGCUUGAAUCUGGCAGAGGGGGGGUAGAAUUCCACGUGUAGCAGUGAAAUGCGUAGAUAUGUGGAGGAACACCGAUGGCGAAGGCAGCCCCCCUGGGUCAAGACUGACGCUCAUGCACGAAAGCGUGGGGAGCAAACAGG